AGACCACUCCACAGCCGAGAGUCAGCACACUGCAACAGCAUCAUCCACCCUCAAAAAGAUACUGGUUCCCGGCAUCACUAAAAAGGGAAAAGAGUUCAUCAGCCUGAUUACCUCCACCUAGACCUCAGCCUCCAUGGCACUACCCUUCAAGCCUGCUGCACCACCCCUCCGCUGCAGUGGAGCCAAACACCACACCCCCGCCACACACACCCCUGUGAGCGAGAGAGAAAAAAAAAAAAAAAAAAAAA